UCAAUAUCUUUUGGUAAAUAAGCUCAAAGUUGGACAUACUAAACAUGCUAAACUGUUGAAUAGUUUACCUGAAGAAAAGUGGGAGCCACAAACACAAUCUCUGCUGCUUACUGGGAUACAAUUUUUCCUGUUGAUGGCUGAAGCCACCGCCAUCUUCUCUCUCCUGAAAUCGGUAUUCGGUGAAAUUUCAAGCCUGAUCCCUUCUAAAAACGCUUCGUACAACCAACAACUACACACGAUAUUACCAUUGUGGUAAAUACAUGUGCAAUUUCAUUCAUGAAAAGCGAUAACUUUACGUAUUUCUUUCAAACCCGAUAACGUUCUCGUAGCAAGCCGUUAUGUUACUGCCGGUUCUUGCCAACCAGUAGCAGUCUUGUACCACGUGACCAUAGCAAAUGACGACACGCUGGCGUCUCCCAUAGCCAGCUCUUUCCAUGUGUAGCGCCAUCUUGGCUUCUAUGUUGACAAAGAUGCAGCCACCUUAUUGGUGGAGCACGCUCACGUGACGCACUGUGCAACCACUUCCUGGCAAAAUAUUAUUCUGCUCAGAGAAAUAGUCCGUGAUAAAGCUUAUCGCCAUAGCCGCUUUGCCACGAUAUCAACGACAAAAAUAAUUGGUAGCUCUGUAAGGCUACGCUUUGUAUUCAUAUGGAGAUCACAUGAUCAUAACAUGAAAAAAGCUUCACUUUAUGGACAACACAACUUCCGACCAUGCUUCCGACAGAGGAAUCAUGCGCACAUGCAGUUGUUGGUUUGGAAAGUUUGAAGACACGGAGGAAAAAGUUUCGAAGAAGUAAAUUUGACCUCAUUCGGCGGUUAAGAGGCCAAGAGCAACCCAACUCUCCAGAUUUGUUUGAACCACCGGAAACAUCAGUAGAUCUUUCAAAAUCAUGGCAGCCUUCACUCGACAGUUCAUUGACUCAGAUAUCCUGCAAUUCACCAUCCAGUCCAAAAACAAUUUUGACCCCCUCUGCAUUCCUCUACACCGGCAGAGCUCCUAACACCCCAGUAGUAUCCUGGAGGGCCUGUGAUAGACGGCGCAGUCCUGUGAUGACCCGUGCCCAGACCCCACAGGAGACUCCUAGACCUCAGACUGGAUCCCCGCCCGUGCUUCCCAAGCUCAUUCCUCUGUAGGUCAGCGGCCCAAAACUCCAAGGAUUAAAGAGAGUGUUUGCAGUCGGUUUCCAAAUACCACAGAAGAACAAGUCGGAGCAGCUCUCAGUGAUCACCUAAAACAGACGCCAGCUCGAUGUGGUGGGGGGGCUACAGGAAAGACAGAACUUCCCCCUUCUGAAUUUUUUUCUAAAAGCCAGACAAAGUUCAUUAAAAACAAGUGUUUUUUUUAAAACAAACGUUUUAAAUCUAUUUUUUUAUUUUCCUUUUCGCAUUGCGAGGCAAAUUUCAUAAAACCAGUUAAAAGGUUGUUAAAAGUAUUUAUAUUUAUAGUUUUUUACACAUUUUUUCCACUGUUAUGUGUAAUAUUUUGUUCAGUUUAUUUUGAAUUGUUUUAAUUUUUCCAAGUUCAAGGUUUAAAUUUGUUCUAUUUGUGUAACAAUUAAAGAAAAAUUAUGCCAAGUCCAUGAUUGUAAUGGUUGUAUUCUGAAUGAAUGUACUGUAAUUGCAAUUCCAGUCUACUGAUGACAAAUAGAUUAGUGUUAAAUUAUGAAAAAGCAUGACAUUAGAUUAAAAAUGUAUUGUGAAAGGUCCAGAAAGAGAUACAUUGGCGAAAUAGUCGGGACAUCCUUAGAGUACAUCAAGGUAAGAAUUGCAGGUAAUUUCUCAUUUAGGCUUUUUUCUGUGAGAGAGAUUUUUGUCUACAUUACAUUUUUAUUGUGAAUAUUUUUAUAAAUUGCCAAAUUCUAAUUAAUUUAUUCGAAUUUGGGGAAAAUAUGCAUUAAUGAUUGUCAGUGUAUUACAGUAUUGAUAGGAAACCACUGACCUUUUUUUUGGUCUGACAGACGUCCAAUACACGUCUAUUAGACGUGUAGUCCUAAAAUAGGUAUUCCAGAGGUCUAAAAAUGAAAGUUUUUUAGACGUCUAAAUUUAGACUAGACGGCUAAUAGACGUCUAAUAAACGUCUAAGUGUAUACCUGGGUUUAUAUUCAGUAUAAGCAUGAACGUCGGAUAAACGUCUAAAAUUUAGACGUCUAAAAACUUUCACUUUUAGACCUCUGAUAGACCAAUUUUAGACGAGACGUCUAAGGAACGUUAGACGUCUUUUAGACCGAAAAAUGCUCAGUGGGCUAAUAGAAUCUAAAUCUUUCAUCUGCUCUUUCUUCUGGAAUGCUCCCAGUUUAAUCAUCAACAUUUAGAGGUUGAUUGCAUUUCUCUCUAAUCCACUGAAAUAGGAACUGUUUUUCUCCCCAUCUUCCAUCCAUUUACACACGUGGACAAAAUUGUUGGUACCCCUCAGUUAAAGAAGGAAAAACCCACAAUUCUCACUGA